GAUGAAGAACGUAGCGAAAUGCGAUAAGUAGUGUGAAUUGCAGAAUUCAGUGAAUCAUCGAAUCUUUGAACGCACAUUGCGCCCCUUGGUAUUCCAUGGGGCAUGCCUGUUCGAGCGUCAUUUGUACCUUCAAGCUUUGCUUGGUGUUGGGUGUUUGUCUCGCCUUUGCGUGUAGACUCGCCUUAAAAUAAUUGGCAGCCGGCGUAUUGAUUUCGGAGCGCAGUACAUCUCGCGCUUUGCACUCAUAACGACAGCGUCCAAAAGUACAUUUUACACUCUUGACCUCGGAUCAGGUAGGGAUACUCGCUGAACUUAAGCAUAUCAAUAAGCGGAGGA
rnacentral:misc_RNA from 1 species